ACCUCCGUAACUCAGUGGACAGAGUACUUCGCUUCGAACGAAGGAGUCGUGGUUCCGAAUCCUACCGGAGGUGCCA
rnacentral:tRNA from 1 species